UACCGAGGUAAUUUUUUCCUUUCCUUUCCAUGGGUACUGUUUUCUGAUGGACGGGACCAUCUUCGCCCCUCCCUCCCAUUACCCUGUCAGAAUUCAGUCCCUAGGUAAGCUUUUCUCAUGGGCGCAAAAUCUCACACGUCAGACAAGGUCACGUGACGCCGGCGCGAGAGCAAACGGUUGGAAGGGCGGCACGAGGAGGCGCCGGCCUGCGCGCGCGCCUUUGAGUGUUUUCUGUGCUUGGCGCUGCGCUAGUCUUCGCCUUGACCCGUCGUGCGCAACAGUGGAGCGCGCGUAUAUUAUCACGUUAUGUUGUGUUUUGUGUGUACCUAAUAACCGUCAAGAAGAGGUAUCCAUUCCCUUUCAAGCAGGCCUUUGUUAGGCCGGUGAAGAGACUAGCGAGAGAGAGUGAGACCGUUGGUGCUUCGCUUCCCACAGAGUUGUUUUGAGGCCGAUUUACCAAACCAAUGCUAUAAAUUAUAGCCCCUUACACAUUCAGUGUUAUGCUAUAUAGCAUGACAAAGAGAACAGAGGAAAAGACAAAGGGGAGCCACAAUGAUGAGUUCACUUGACUCAUGGGAACUAUGAAGAACACUCUAGGUGAAAGGAUGCUCUUCGACCUGGAAAGCCAAUUAUACAGAAGUGUGAUCAUCACUUAAACUACCUUCAUAAUCUGGCGGAGGGUGGACUUCCGCAUAUGUUAUGAGGCAAACACAGAUUCCAAGUCCCAUGUCUGCUUUGUAAUACAGUACUAAAACAAGAGCAGGGGAGAAUUAGGAGGCAGGAGGAGGUGCUAAUUUUCCCCCUGUCCACCAGUCCCCUGCUCUAAAUGCUCUUCUCGCUGGCCACUUUUAUUUUAGUCAGUUUUUACACCAGCCAGGUUCUGAGACUGUGAACAAGAAUCUUGGUGAAGAAUCAGAUAUUUGACUAGGUGAAGAAUGAGAUAUUUGAGAGGCAUCUGAGAAAAAAAAAGCAGCAUUAGAAGGGUUAAGCACCCUCAGCUAAUUCUUCUCUACAAAUACCACCCACCCACCCCACCCCCCGCCUGCGCAUUCACAAUAUCUUGGCAUCACACCUGCAGAUCUGAAAUUAUAUUACUUUUACAUCAGGCCUGGUUUAUGGCCUAAUUCUGUCUGUACUGUGCUACUCCAGAAUGUACGUCUGGGCUCAUGUGAUGGAAUCCUCCAUGGAAAAAAGUUACUUGAAGGUAGAAAAUUGGUACUGUAUCAGGUAGAAGGGUUCUAGUUCAGCUUUCUCCCUCACAUGCUAGUUUUUUAGGUAUAAGAUUUAUCCCCUCAUGUGAGAACAUUCCAUCACAUAAGUCCCUGCCUGCAAUCUGAAGUUAUGCAGUCCAGACAUAGGUUUACCACUUCAUUUACUAUUUGUGAGAAUUGGGCUUAUCUUGCUUUGACUGAAGCUAAAAAUUCCCAUAGCUGUAGAAUAUAUUUCAUAUAUGUCAGUCAAUUGGCAGAGCCACAGUAUUCUCCAGCACACACAGAAAAUAGCAACAGUGAAAAUAUGUAAAGAUACAAAAUCUUCUGUACAGAUCUAGUUUUAUAUUUGUUGAAGGAAACAAAGUUCCCAACAAAAAACAGAACUUGCAAUACUGAAUGAAAUUGGCCAGAUACAUAUAGCAUGCUGGAAUUGUUACUUAGUGAUGUGGAACGCAGGAACCCGCGCUUUGGAGAGGGUUGAGUAUCUUCUCCUUUACUGUCUUCAGGGGGAGUUAGUUGUCUAUGUUCAUCAUCUUGGUAUGAGAGGCUGUAAUAGAAAAGGAUCUUGUUUUUUUUUUUUUUAAAGAGGUCCAAGUAAGUUAGCUCGGUUUUUAGAUGAGGUUUUUAGCUGAGUGGUGAGUGGGUAAGCAUCAUUAACAUAUCACCGCCUAGAGUCUUUGGAGGAGAUGGUAUACAAUUUUUAAAAAACAAACAAAUAAUAAAUAAAUAAAUAAAUAAAUAUGCCCCAGUUUCAGGAGAGGUAUUGCUUCCUCCCUGCCCUCUAUACAUAUGAGGUUCCUCUUGGUGGUUGCCAAGCCACCCAGUCUAGGGGUAAUUGGCAAGUUUUGACUCCAUUACAAUGUUUCUCCCCAAUAUAGCAUUUCAUUUCACCUCAUAAGAAUGAAUGACAACUAUAUGGAAGAUAGGCUUGCACUCAGGAACACCAUUGGGCAUGUGCUAAAUCUGUCACUGGUUCAUGCUGAUCCCAGUGGCUAACAUCUCAACUAAAUUACUCAAUAGUAAUUAAUCCGGAGUUACUCUAAAGGAGUAAAUUUGGUCAGAAUGUCAGCCAGUGUCUGCAGUAAAAAACAGAUUUUGCCCUUUCAGCUAUCCCAGAUGGCGGUCUGUUCAAUUUAUCUAAUGAGAUAAUAGAGUGAGAUUAAGAUUUGACUGUUGUUUAUUUGUUACUUUAUUUAUUAAGCAAUUACAGCUCUGGAUUGUUUCAAAGUACUGUUACUUUUGAAUGGCAUUUUGUAUUUCUGUAUUAUUUCUGUACUGGUCAAGGACUGUAAUAAAGCUAUAUUUGAAUCUGU